CAGCCGCCACGGGAAUACGUAGGGUGCAAGCGUUAAUUGGAAUUACUGGGCGUAAAGCGUGCGCAGGCGGUUAUAUAAGACAGAUGUGAAAUCCCCGGGCUCAACCUGGGAACUGCAUUUGUGACUGUAUAGCUAGAGUACGGCAGAGGGGGAUGGAAUUCCGCGUGUAGCAGUGAAAUGCGUAGAUAUGCGGAGGAACACCGAUGGCGAAGGCAAUCCCCUGGGCCUGUACUGACGCUCAUGCACGAAAGCGUGGGGAGCAAACAGGAUUAGAUACCCCGGUAGUCCCUGUCUCUUAUAC
rnacentral:rRNA from 1 species